ensembl:lncRNA
UUAAUUGCCAGGCAGCACACCAACACCUGGAGUACCCGGCUCGCUGUUUAACCGAAUAAAAACCUCUCCUCGGUGACUGACUGGGGGCCAUCCAGGAUGGUCACCCUGGCCCUCACUCCUCCCAUCCAGGGGGUAAAGCAUGACAAGAAGUCAUCAACAGCUUCUUGAACACCUCCAGUGAUGGGGAGCUCAUUCCACCACUGGCUGGAUAUGGACACUCAGUGAAGGGGCUGUCUUAGCAGGCACAGGAUAAAACCACAAAGACAGGGCCUCAGGCCACCGACACAAGAAUGCAUAUGAUGGUCGAUAAGAGCAUUAAUUUUAAUCAAAGCUAACACGUAUGGAGGCGUGGUUCUCAGUGCUCCACCCUCACCCACAGAGGAGCUGCACCCACAGCUAUUGCCGUGUGUCGCACACCGUGCUGAUCGCUCCUUGUGCACGGCCUCAUCUGAUCCUCACAGCAGGCUGCAGCAAGCAUUGUUGUCCCUGCUUUGCAGACGAGGAGACCGCAGCUUGGAGAGAGGAAGGCCAAGGUCGCACAGCCAGGAGCAGCAGAACCAAGACUGAAAUGCAGACCCAUCUGAUCUGAGCCCAGAGCCCACACCUUUGCCACCACUUUGCCCCUGGAGGGAGGAAUCAGCUGGAUUUGGGGACAGUUGCGUGGCACCUAUUCCUUCUGAGCCCCAUGCACCUCCCAAGAGAGGAGCACCAGUCCUGGGGCUGCAAGCUCAGCUGGUCGCCCCGGCUGUGGUGGCGUCACAGGGCGGCAUUGUGAUGGUCAGGGCAUCAUUGUGACAGUCAGGACGGCAUUGUGACUGCUGCAUUCUUCAGGGUUUUGUCUGUGUUCCCAGGGCUCCGGCUCUGCCUGCCUCCAGCUUCCUCUCCCCCGAGCCCUGAGCUCUCCCCUCACACAGCUGCCGGGUGUUUGAUCAGCCUGGUUCAAAGCCGGCUCCGCAGGCUCAGGGAGAAGCGGAUCUUUGGAAAAACAACACUGAAAUAAAACAAUAAUGAAUUCACAAAGAAAAUGACAAUUAAAUAAGCCACCCCAGGGCAUCUGGUGUUCAGCCACAGAUAAACAGCCCUGUUUCCUGAGUCCGCACUCUGCUGGGGGCCAGGAUCUGAGGAUGAGCACGGGACCCGUCCCCGCAAUCCGGAACUCACGGUGGAGACUCACGAGGACAGCAAACAGUGAAACUCACCAAAAAGUGCCCAGAGGGACAAAAAGAGGGCUCUGGGAACAAGUAAGACUGUGAACUGAUCUUGUCUCGGGUGUUCAGGUGAAGCUUCCUAAAGAGAGCGACACUGAUGAAUGGAUGGGCAGGGGAGCCCCAUCAGUGGGUCUCGGCUGGAAACACGCGUCCCCUCACUAGAGCAGUGGAGGAGCCUUGACGAGGGCACUGCUUACAAGAGGCGGGCAGGGUGGAGGCAAGUCAACAGGCAGCGCGCAGAGCCCCGGGCUGCCGGACCUGAAGGGGAGGAGCGGUCACCAGCAUCUGGAGAGAGGACUGUGACCCUCAGGCGAGGGACACCACCAAACCAAGGUGACCAGCAGGGAGGAAGCUGGGGACACAAAAACCCCGACCUCACUCUCUUCCCACCAGUUGAUCUCCUGCCAACGCCUCCCUCUAGCCAAAUCCAACCAGAAGGCAGAAACAAGGGGUCCUUGGGGUUUGGCCCACCCCGUCAACCUCUCCGGGGUGGAGAGACAUUGACAGGAGCAGGGAGUGGAUCUGGAGGUUGCGAAUGGAAACAGCCAGCCCAAGAGGGCUGGAUAUAACUCAGGGCAACUUGGUCAUGUGUACCCACCUCCGAUACUCCCCCAAACCCCAGUGAAAUAAUUGGACAGAGAAUGAGCAAGGAGAAAGGGGCAGCUGAGAGAGGACAACACAUUUUUAACAGGUAGGGCAGUUAUAACCGGCUCAGGAAAUGAGAGAGAGUGGAGGCCUCGGUAACUGCAGAGAGAAUCCCAAUGACAAGCGAACCAGCUGGCCCCACAGUGUCCCCAGGAAGUCUCAGGAAUUCAAGACCCUAGGUGACUUUGAGGGCAGUGAUUCAAACAAAAGCCGACAAGAGGCCUUGGCAGCCGGCCUGUGUAAGGAUAGUCAGCCUACCCAAGCCUCCUCCUUCAGCCCCAUGAGCCCGGAGCCCUGCUUUCCCAUCCAGCAGGAGAGCGGACUUGUUAGGGAAGUGGACCCAGACAGCCUCCUGACUCAGGGAGACCAGGCACAGCAGAGGGCCGCAGUGUGAAAGUCCACAACCCAAAUGCAAGGCCCCGCCCCAUUCCCUGCGUGUCUGACAGCAAACGCAGAUCUCCAAGCUGGCCUCUGGGGUAUUCCUCCUUGGAUAAACCAAAAGGUCCCAGAGAAAAGCUCUCCAUGAUGUUGAAAUUGGGGGUCCCCAGAACGGCUUGGCUCCUUCUCUUUCAGUCUACGGUAAAGCCCCCCUGCCAGUCAACAAGCCUAGCCGUGUGCAGAGAUCGCAAUCAACCUGUCCAGGUCUCAUUAAAUAUGAGAGUGCCGACAAGGAUCUCUAGAUGUUUGAGGGAAAUCCCCACCAUAAGAAAGACCAAAACAGACAUCAGUAGGAAAAAGAACUCUGAUGAAAUAGAGCGAACAAAGGGAGCAAAGGGAAAACUCCCAAAACCCUGUGAUUAAUAUCCUCAAGGAGAUCAAAGAAGAUAUUGCUCCCAUGAAACAAGAGAACAGGAUCCCGUAACACAGAGACAACCAAAAAGUAUGAUAGAGCUCUCGGAAAUUAAAGAUAUGAUAGCAGCAAUACAAAAUUCAGUGGAAAGUUUUGGAAAUAAAGUUGAAGAAAUAGCUCCAAAAAUAAAGCAACGAGAAGAGAGAUGGUCCAUAGGAAAUAAAGGGUAUAAAAUCUAGAAUAUCAACCUGUGAGGUCCAAUACUCGAGUGACAGGAGUUCCAGAUAGAGCAGGAAACAAUGGAUGGGAAAAAUGGUAAAAGAAACAUAGAAGAGAUUCUAUCUAAACCAAAUGACAAGUGUUUUCAGAUUGAACGGCUGAGGGCCCGUAACAAUGAAACUCAAAGACCCACCAGGGCAUAUUGCUGUGAAAUUGCAGAAUGUCAAGAAUAAAGAAAAGGCUCUAAAACCUUUUGGGAGAGGAAAAUAACAGUCACA